UGGCAGGUGUGGCCACAAGAAAGAUGGCCAGGUGGUACCGGAUGGAGCUCUGCCCAUCGUUUGUGCCCCAGGGUGCCAAGUGCCGUGCUGAGCAGUGGGGACCCGCGGGUGCACGCGGCCAUCCUGCACACCGCAGACGCAGACCCCCACCAAGUGAGUAGGGGGUCGCAAGUGGAGCAGCUGCAGAGAUGAAGUCCGUAAGCUGUCCAAGGCUGGUCCAUGAUGGUCCAUGAUGAUAAGAUCCAAGGACCUUGCAAUCUUCUCCAUUUUUCAAGUGGUGGCUUCCAUACUCAAGAAUACUUUGUUAUCCAAAAUAGCUGCUGGAACUCUGUUCAUCACAUCAGCCUUCCAGGCAGCUGGAACCUGGAAGGUGCGAAGGGCCAAAAACGUGUACCAGUUCUUUUCAAUAAAAUUAGGAUUCUAUUAUUAAGGAAGAAGAGAAUGGCCAUUGCACACCAGCGGAGCGGUCUCUCACACACUUACUCUGGCCUGAGAGUGGGAGUGGAGUGAAAAGCAAGAAUCUCUGUGAGUUCCUAAUGUGACAAAGCUGCCGUGAGGAGAUACAGAAAGGUCCAUGAGCCAUUAGCGGACCCGUGCACCACCGGCCCCUGCCCCAGCACCCUCAGAAGCGACCACAGCUUUCUCCGUCCAGCUCUGCAGGGGCCAGGGCGCGUGCUGCCCUCCCAUCCUCUCCCCACCUCCAUCACUGCUGCCUCUCCUUCUGAAGAGGGGCCAACUCCCAUUUUUCACUCCCAGACACUUCUGGAAAUUCCGCCCCAAGUGAUCAAGGAUUCGAACCAACCUGCUCAGUGGAACCCACGGACCCUUGGCUACC